UCCCUGCUGGCUCAGAUGGUAAAGCGUCUGUCUACAAUCCUGGAGACCCGGGUUCAAUCCCUGGGUUGGGAA
rnacentral:tRNA from 1 species